GGGUCGAUUUGCUCGACUAAAGGCGGUGCUCCAGCAUGGCCGCAGUCAAAUGACUGAAACGAGUAAAAGAGUAAAGAGUAAGAGUAUACCUGCCCACGAAGAUUUCAAUUCCAAAUUCAAUAAUGCCAUUUGGAAUGAUUGAAACCAGAUGUCAAAAUUAAUUUUAAGAAAUAUUGAAAUUUUACAUUGAAUUUCUGAAAAUAAUGUUUAAAAAUGGUACUGCGAAUGUGUAAUGUUUGAUUGAGCUGGAAGAAUUUAUUUAGGACAGUUGAUAUAAGUGAUUGUCCUGUAUGAGUUAUUGUAUGAUGUAAUCAAUCCUAACUGAUCAAUACUUCUGUGAAUUUCAAAUGGGAAAUAAAAGUUUGAAGAAUUUCACAUUACUAGAUCUUUAUUCAUUCAUUGUUUCCUUGAGCUGUAUUGAUGAAUUACAGUUCAGAUAUAAUUCCACAGUAAUUACACUCCCCUGUGAUAUAUUUUUUUCAAGGUUGUGUGUUUAUGAUACAAUAUCAACCAAAGUAAGAGAGACUAUGGCAUAACGAAAGGGUUAAUUAGUCGACAAAUUUUACUUGUCAGCUAAAAAUUUCAUAUAAAUGAAUGUUGGAAUAGAAAACUAAACUGUGUUACCCACAAAAUUUUCAAGUUAUGCAACCCCCCCCCCCCCCAAAAAAAAAACAACAACAAAAAACAGCAUAAUCCAAUACUUGUAGCCCAAUCUGAUAACCAUAGUCUUCAGUUAGUACCAACUCUAGAAUUAACGUAAGCUAUAUACAGCUGUUGUCUACUCCUGUCUAAUUACUAGUUUUGGCACCACUGCUUGGCUAUAAUUAAAGUAUCAGGUCUUUGAUUAAUGGUUUUGUACGUGGCUAAUCUAAUAUAGCCAUAGAAACUCCUUCUCUCUCUGUUUAUCUCUCUCUCUUUGUCUCCGUGUGUGUGUGUCUCUCUCUCUCUGCUUGUCUCUUUCUCUCUUUUUCUCUGUCUCUCUCUCUAUCUCUCUCUCUGAAUGAGUUUCUUCUUAGCAUUCUCCUUGCCUGCCUCCCUCUGACUUUCCUUCCUUCUAUCCUUAUUCUCUCCCUACUUUUUCACUUCCACUCUUUGUCUCUCUCUCUCUCCCUUCUACCUAUUCUCUUACCUCUGUCUCUUACACUCACUCAUUCCUGAACUCAGAACUCCCUAAGUACUAAGUAGAAAAA